rnacentral:rRNA from 1 species
AGGUUAAGCUACAAAGGGCGCAUGGCGAAUGCCUUGGCACUAGGAGCCGAAGAAGGACGCGUUAAGCUGCGAUAAGCU